rnacentral:rRNA from 1 species
AGCGAACGCUGGCGGCAGGCCUAACACAUGCAAGUCGAACGAACCCUUCGGGGUUAGUGGCGGACGGGUGAGUAACACGUGGGAACGUGCCUUUAGGUUCGGAAUAACUCAGGGAAACUUGUGCUAAUACCGAAUGUGCCCUUCGGGGGAAAGAUUUAUCGCCUUAGAGCGGCCCGCGUCUGAUUAGCUAGUUGGUGAGGUAAUGGCUCACCAAGGCUACGAUCAGUAGCUGGUCUGAGAGGAUGACCAGCCACAUUGGGACUGAGACACGGCCCAAACUCCUACGGGAGGCAGCAGUGGGGAAUCUUGCGCAAUGGGCGAAAGCCUGACGCAGCCAUGCCGCGUGGAUGAUGAAGGUCUUAGGAUUGUAAAAUCCUUUCACCGGUGAAGAUAAUGACUGUAGCCGGAGAAGAAGCCCCGGCUAACUUCGUGCCAGCCGCCGCUGUAAGAC